rnacentral:rRNA from 1 species
GUGAGUCAUCGAGUCUUUGAACGCACAUUGCGCCCGCUAGUAUCCUGGCGGGCAUGCCUGUCUGAGCGUCAUUUCAACCCUCGCGCCCGGCUUCUUGUCGGAUGCGGUGUUGGGGAUCGACCUGCCGUCUGACGGAGGGUCGGCCCCGAAAUGGAGUGGCGACCACGCCGUAGCCUCCUCUGCGUAGUAACAUAUCACCUCGCAGGUGGAGAGCGGUGCGGUCAUGCCGUAAAACACCCAACUUUACCAAGGUUGACCUCAGAUCAGGUAGGAAUACCCGCUGAACUUAAGCAUAUCAAUAAGCGGAGG